UAAUUGUUAAAUAUAUUGUCACAUUGAGAAAAAUAAAGUCAUAAUUGUUAAAUAUAAAGUUACAUUGUGAGAAAUAAAGUCCUACCAUAAAUAUAACAAAAAAUAUUUUUUGUUUAGUAAUAUGCAUUGCUAAGAACUAAGAACAUUGUAAAGCAAUUUUCGCAAUAUUUAGAUUUUUUUUUUUUUUUUUUUUUUUGUGUACCCUCAGAUUCCAGAUUUUCAAAUAGUUGUAUCUCGGCCAUAUAUUGUCCUCCUAACAAACCACACAUCAAUGGAGAGAUUAUUUAUUCAGCUUUCAGAUGAUGUAUAAAUCUCAAUUUCAAAAAAUUGACCCUUAUGACUGGUUUUGUGGUCCAGGGUCACAUGUAUACACACACACACACACACACACACACACACACACACACACACACACACACACACACACACACACACACACACACACACACACACAGAGUGAUCAUUCACCCCUUUACCCAGAACUUCACACUAACUCGUUAAUGCAACUGCAAAGUCUCCACGUCCCAGCACUAUCCAAACAAUAGACGGCAAAUUUCACUUUGCCAUUCAAAGUAGAUAGCCCUUCUGUGAUGACAUCAUGGUUUGGACAAGGACAGAUUUGGGUAAAAUUUUGAAAACAGCUCUUAUGUAAACAGAAACUGAGUAAACAGAGCACAGAGUGCAGGCAGGCUCAUAGAAAAAGCAUAAUUGUAUUGUUUAUGGCCUAAAUUAAAAGUUAAAGAUCAGGGAUUUAACAGCUGUUGUGGCUUUACAAUGAGAGUCAAACAUUUCUGAUCCCAUCACCGAAUUGCUUCCAUUUCCUGAAAUGCCUACUUCACAUGAGCAGCUUGCGAGAUAGUGGGCGGGGCGUGUUCUGGGCGUGUGCGUGCUGACCCAAUCAUCUCGCGAAUCCUAGCGCAUGGGGUGAGUCGCCCCGCCCCCUUCACUCACGCUUCUGAAAGAGUCUGUCUGCAUGCUCAUGUCUCGCAGAAUCAGAGACGCGACAGAAGCCGAUAAGAAGCGUUGUUUUAUCAACUCUCCUUUUGAAAGGACCCGUGGGAUCAACCCGUGGGAUCAAAAGUAUUUUAAUCAGUCUUCCUCUUAAGUUGGACACGUAUUUGGAUAUAUCCCGCGGUAUUUGUCAGUUGUCCCAACCGAAAUGGAGGAGUUUAUUCUCUCGGAUCAGACCGUUUCAUGCGACUAGACAGUCUCCAUCUGUCCCAUCUGCACGACAGGACGGAGAACAUCACUGGACAUUUACGGAUAGAAACUGGACGACACGCCGUGAUUUGAAUGCCUUUGCGAGGACUUUGCUGGCUUGUGUGCUGCAGACAAGGCUUCAGUUUGCUGGCUCGGGAUCAUGGGGAGAAAGAGGAGGAAGAGUCUUUCGAGUUACGCAAUCAGGACGAGCACACACACACUGGACGGGGGCAACUAGAGGUCACUCUGUCUCAGCCCACUCGCACAGCCAACGGCACACCCUGGUGAGUUCAGCCAUUAAUGAUGUUUAAUAGGAUGUGUGUGUGUGUGUGUGUGUGUCUGUCCUACAUCUCCCUCAGAACCUAGACCGAUGGAUUUGUCAGUGCGUACAGUACAUAUGCUUACAAAAAAGGACUGUGGUGGUACAGUGAUUGUAUCAGAUCGUAAUACAUCUUAUUUUAAUAUAAACCAGCAUACAGAAUGAGCCCUUAUGUACACCAAGGCUACAUUUAUUAGGUCAAAAAGGCAGUAAAUUAUUAAUAUUGUGAAAUAUUAUAACAUAUAUAAAAUAAUAAAAUAUUAGUUUUAUAGUAAGUGUUUUCUAUUUUAAUAUUUUUUUUAAAUAUAAUCCACUCUAAAUUUUUAAACUCCAGUCUUCAGUGUCACAUGAUUCUUCAGAAAUCAUUCUAAUAUGCUGAUUAGUGCUCAAGAAAUGUUUCUUAUUAUUAUCAAUGUCGAAAACAGUUGUCUUGCUUAAUAUUUUUGUGGAAACUGUGAUGCAUGCUUUUUCAGGAUGCUUUGAUAAGAACAGCAUUUUUUGUAAUUGAUGCACCUUGUCUACACCAGACGCGAACGGCGAGGCGUGACGUGACAAAAUACUAUAGAACCCAUUAUAAUCAGUGAUGCUGUCUACACUGGAUGCAGCACGACAAGACAGAUCCCCACAGUAAACUGAUGCCUUGUUCUUUUUAUGACGUACUGACUCAAAUUUCAAAUGAUUUGUAACAGUCGCUUUGCAGUCAGUGUAGACAGCCUCAAGCUGUUGCGGCAUGACGCAAUAAGACAACUGUUGCAUCCGGUGUAGACAUGGUGUUAGUGUACCAUGUUAUACAGUCACUUGUAAGAUGUGGACUAGCCUGACUAUGUCAUAGCUUCAGGUGUGCCGCAGCACAAAAUAUCAUGCACAUACAGAAAAUGUGUACCAUUAAUCGUCAAAAUAAAGUAUUCAUUUUAUUGUGUUAUCAAGAUUGUGAAGCCUUGAAUCUAGAGGAAGUGUAAGUGUGUGUGUUUUAGCAGGCUGAGAUUUGCACGAAACCUUCAGUCAGAUGGUGACUCAGUCUUUUUUAUUGCAUGUAGAGGUCGCUCAGUCUCAUCACGGAUUAGACACACAUGUGCUGUCAUCCUGAGUGCUUUCUGUCUGUCUCGCUCAGCUGGCUGGAUGUGGAAUGUCUUGGCGCAGUAAUUCUUGAGUAAACCGUAUUAUUUUUAGCAAAGCUCAGAAAGACUCACUCCAUCAUACUGUCCUCAACCACCAUAUCCGAAAGAAAGCAUUGUCUUUGUAUCUGUCACUCUUGGUUUAUGUCCUCUUUCUGCCUUUUAAAAAUUUCAAACAAUUCAUUUUUGGCGGUAGGUUUCAGGUCUUUCUCCUGUUCACCAGCUGUUCUGCUCUGUCAGUCCAUUAAUGGGUCAUCCUGACAAGUCACAGCUUGGUGCUAAUGUGUUUCUCAACAUUUUAACAGCGGAGUUCUUGGACUUUCAUGGUUAAAAUCUGCAGGUUUUUUUACCAAAUUUUUCUAAGAAUAAUUUUAGAUAUUUAUAUAAUUUUUUUUUUUGUAAUUUUUUACAGAUUAAUUUUCACAUGAGUAAUUUUGAACUUUUUUGGAUGCUUUGUCUGGUGAAAUGUGACCGUGCAUGUUGAGCACAUUUACACACACACAUGCACACACACGUUUACUUAGCUGUCAAAAAUUAUACGUUUUUUAUUAAAUCUAAUUAUAAUUACUAGAAACUAACCCAAAUAUGGAAGAAAAAAAAACAAAGAAUAGUUCUUGGACUUUCAUGGUUAAAAUCUGCAGGUUUUUUUACCUAAAUUUUUCUAAGAAUAAUUUUAGAUAUUUAUAUUAAUUUUUUUUGUAAUUUUUACAGAUUAAUUUUCACAUGAGUAAUUUUGAACUUUUUUGGAUGCUUUGUCUGGUGAAAUGUGACCGUGCAUGUUGAGCACAUUUACACACACACAUGCACACACACGUUUACUUAGCUGUCAAAAAUUAUACGUUUUUUAUUAAAUCUAAUUAUAAUUACUAGAAACUAACCCAAAUAUGGAGAAAAAAAACAAAGAAUGUCCACAGAGGGCAUUUUUUUGUCACAUUUACUUUCUUGUAGGGAUAAUUUUGCCUCCCAUCAUGGCUAAGUAUGCACACACAUUAACGUGUGCUCAAGUGUGUGCAAGCCUUCCAGCAAGGACAUUGUUUAUUUAGUUCAUAAAUAAGCAGCACUGCAUUUUAAUUGGAUUAAAAUCAAUCAUCUGCUGAGUUCAACACACCACUUACAGUAAGUGUACUAUAGAGAAUAGUGUUACAGAGAUUAAGUGCACUACAGAGAGAAGUAUUCACUCAAAGUGUAACAAAGAAUGAAGAACAGCUACUUCUUUUUUGUGUGUCAUGUCUUAAUUAGCCUUUUCCUCACAGAGCUGGCUAAAACAGAUAUUGUAUACUUGUGACAAACCAAUGAUUUCUUUAAAUCUGGAAAGUGUGUGUGAGUGUAUAAUGGAUGGGUUAUAUUAGCUCUUAUCAUGAUUGUGUUAACCAUCGAUUAAUCAGGUUAUUGAUGUCUGUUACUGUAAGUCACAUGGAAUUGGCAGUAAAAGUUACACACGCACAUACACACACACACACACACACACACACACACACACACACACACACACACGCAAAGAAGUUCCCUCGAUUCAGUGGACAUUUAUAGAGGGACGCAUUAAAUAUGUUUCUCUUCUUUUUACCUUUCCUCCAUCCCUCCAUUUCUUGUCGGUGUGGGCCACACAGAUGGUUUGGGUUAGUAAGCUUAUGCCACAGAAAGCGUCAGAGAGGGAGGCUUACACACACAGUGCAACUUUGCCUUCAUAUUAACCAUUCUGCCUGGCAGUAUUACCAACCAGAGUUUCCCGUUCCAUGACGCUGUUCCACUGAAACCAUUCAAAACAUUUGAAUUCACAUCUCCAACCACGAGAUGGGUUCAUACGCCGCCCCCCCCACCCCACGCGCUUAUCCUUAAAUUUGCAAAUCAGUUUUCACUGUCUUCUUUGGCUUUUAAUAUUAUAUUCAUUUUUUCUUUUUAGUUUUGUAUUAUUAUUCACAUAUGCACAACUACACCACAUCUGAAACUGAAAUAAAAUUAUGUAGCAAUUUUAAGUUAUAUUUUUUACCUUUUAUUAUGAUUAGGCAGUCGAAGAAAAGUCAGGAAGUCAUAGGAGAGGGAAACGGGUUGAGGAAAAAAACCUCAGAUUGCUCAAAGCACUGUUGUGCUGACCAAAAAGCUAUGUUUCUGACAUAAAACUAUGUGAAAUGAUUUUCAUGUAUUUUUAGUUUUAUACACUUUGAUCAAAAAUGCAUUGAAAACAGUAAUAUUGUGACAUAUUAACAGAGUUUAAUGCAUUUUAUUCCUGUGAUGGCAAAUGUAUGCUGAUAUAUGCUGAUUUGGAAUCAGUUGUGUUGCUUAAUACCUUUGGUGAAACUGUGAAUUUUUUUUUUCAGGAUUCUUUGAUUACUAUAAAGUUUAAAAAACUGCAUUAAUUAGAAAAAGAAAUAUUUUAAUGUCAUUUUACUGUCAAUUUAAUGCAUACUUGUUGAAUACAAGUAUUAAUUGUUAUUAUUUAUUUUUAAACAUAUCUUAUGACCCUAACUAUUAAAAUAACUUUUGGCUGUUUUAAUUGUGCUUAUAAAAGUACUUCAGUUACUCAGCUGGUUUUCAGGUCAUUUGAGUUUGAGACUGUUAAUGUCCAGGCACAGUUUUAUACUUGUGACUUCAGGAGAGAGAAGUUUUUUUGUUUAGUUUUUUUUUUUUUACAUAGGUUUGUCAGGGUGAAUUUGCUUUCACUUCUGUAAACAAGCACGAUUUGGUUAUUUUCCUUUCUUCCUCCUCAUCAAAUCAGUGCUAACUCAGGGUGUUUCAUUUUACAUCCCUCACCAAACAACAGCUACAUUCACAACAGCACUUUCCACUUUCCUUUCCAAAUCAUCCUUCCUGUUCUAUCUUCCUCUCUCUCAGUUCAUUUGGCUCAUCUUAGAAUAAGUCAAAUUAAUGUCUGUAUCUAUCCCACGUUCAUGUGUCAUGCCACUUGACUGACAGUUUGGUUUAAUAUUUUGUAUAGGCUUCUUAUUCUUAUAUUUCCGUUUAUUUGUAUUUCCCUCUUGCUGUUUCUGUCUCAAGGCUCUCCUUUAGAUUUGGAGAAAGGCGCAUUAAUUUUCCUCUCCUCCUUUUACGACUGCUGUGGACGUCUGGGAAAAGGAGUGGGCGAGCAGUGGGUAGGGUUGGGGUAGUGGGUUUGGUAUUGGACAGCUGUGGAAACCUUGUUGACACACACACACACACACACACACACUUCUCUCACGACCCUCACCUCUUUACAGAUCCACUACACCAGUUCAAACCUGCGUUCCAGCUGUGACUGUUGAAUAAACCUCUACUUUACAGUUUACAGACACUUCAAACACGCUUUGACAUCUAACACUCACUUACAUGAUCACACAACACAAAUCUGUCUAUAAAUUUCAAUCCAUAGUCUCGCAUUGGAAAGAAAAUUACAAACGAGACCUCUAAAUGUCUCAGUUGAUUCUCCUACACAACAAGUUUAAAUAGAAAGCAAAUGGACAUUUCUUUAAAUAACAGAUCUCAGCAAUAGCUGUGUUUUCAUCCAAGUUGUAAAUUUAAUUUUUACAAACAUUUUGUUAAACAUUUGUUGGGAAAUUGGAAAAUUAUAGAAAUGGAGGGAUAUUGGUGCAAAAUAGAAAUGCAAGUGGCAUACACUGGAAACUUUGGGUCUUUAAUUAAAUGUAAUGAAUUAAUGAUGUUUUAGAGCACAAGCGAUUGACAGUAGAUACUUUAGGGAGCAACACUAAAUGAGGCAG
rnacentral:lncRNA from 1 species